GCACUCUCCCGACUCAGAGCAGGAACUUGCCGGGGCGGCUGGUCCUGAUGCUGCUAGGACCAACGCUGCUAUGACGCCUCUCCUCGUGCAGCCUGGGCAGCCCCACAGGGCUUCUGGACGUGCAGAGGCAGGGUGUGUAGAAGCAAGCAGACACCAAACCUGCAGAUCAAGGGCAAGCCAGGCCUCGGGGACGACCAGAGAGUCCAGGGAAAAGAGAAUUCAGCUACGGAGAGUUUGAUGGAAAAAGCCAGCACGAUGCACGUGCCAGGAUGGUCGCUGUGGUUUGUCCACAAUGAAGGAAAAUGCAAACAACUUAUAGCUGUUUAUUGACAGAAGCUGGCUGACUGAAUUCCGAUCUCUUAAUAGGAGAGAAUACCAGCUGCCAUUAAAACAAGGACCAGGAGCCAUACUCAUGGACCUAAAAUGGUGCCCACCAUUAUUGUUAAGAGAAGAAAGCAGACGAGAAAGGAGACUGUGUGGUGCGGUACUGCACUGGAACAGGUCGUAGCUCUGUGCUUGUGAACAUGGGUGCCUAGAAAAACGUUUGGAGGGAUCCACAGCAAAAUAGUAACAGUUGUCAUGACUGGAUGGUGAGACAUGGGGGAUUUAUACUUUCAUUCUCUUGUUUAAAACUCCUCAGUAGUGCCUGCCAUUCUGAGGAUGAAGCUUGCAAGACCUCACACAACAUGCUCACAAGGCCUGGUGUUGUCUGACCCACCCCCAUCUCGCCAACCUAACCUUCUCUCUCUCGGAGCCCCAGGCUGUCUCUCCUUUCCUCCAACCAGCUUUGUCCGUUCCUGCCUCAGGGCCUUUGCACAGGCUCUUUCAUGGGCCGGGAAUCUUCUUCCCUGACCUCCCAUGGGCCCACAUGCUUAGCAUUUGCUGCCUCUCCUUCCUUUAUCAGCUCCAUCUUCAUUUCCUUAGAGAACCCUGCCCCCCAACUCCCCCAGGCCCUGCCAUGAAGGCUCUGCUGGAGCCCUGGCCCUCCCCAACCAAGAUGAAGUGCCAGUCAUCUCCUCCUGCCAGAAUAUCCAUCCAUCCCAGGAAGGUGGGCGUGGUGUCGUCUCACUCCUCUGUGUCCCACCAGCAGCUGCUCAGAGGUUUGUUGAAUGAAUGACACAAAUCUCUUUUUGUAUUGUCUGCACUUUUAGAACUGGUAGUUAUCCUUCCUUUGAGAAAAAAAAUAAUAAAAAAUAAAAAUAUUUGUCCUGACAAUACAUGAUCAUUUCAAGAUUGUAAAAGAAUUCAGAGACUGUUACCUCUAGUCUAUCAUUUUUAGAAUCAGAACACUACAG
rnacentral:lncRNA from 1 species